GGGAGGCUACCCAGGAACCAGGAGCUCCGUCUGCAUCUCCGUCUCCAGAUGCUGCAGGACAUCCUGAAAUGAAGCCCGGGUCUGAGUCUUCACAAGGCGGUACGGGCAGAGGGAGCACCAUCGGGGCAGGAACAGGCCUGGAAACCUGUCCUGCUCCAGAUGACCAGCAGUAGCUGACCUGGGAUCUGAUGGCCUCAGUGUAUCACUUCAGUCCGAAUGCAGGAGGCCUCAGAUGCGGAGAAAUGCCCGUGAGCAUUGCCAACACGUCCAGAAGGAGAAACGCGGCGACAGGGAAAGCAGAGUAGACAGAGGCAGUGGUCUUGAACGAUGAAGUACCUUAUCGCCGUGAAGUUCUUAGGAGCAAAAGACCAUGUACCUGUGAAUACCUUGAGGAGGUUCUCCUUUUACCCUGGGAGUGGUAGGGGUGGGAGAGGAGCGCAGUGCAGAGUGGUGAGAAGCCUAAAGUUUUCUUUUCAUUAGCUUCCGGGUCAGCCUACCCUGGGGACUUCAGGAGGAAGCAGUAGUCCCCGCUUAGCCACAGGGCAGACAUUCCAAGACCCUCAGUGGAUGCCAGGAUCAGACAGUUCCAAAUCUGAUGCGCAUAUAUGCUGUGUGUGUGUUUUGCUCUUAUAACCUAGGCAGCUAAUGGGUGACUAAGGGUGGUGGAUGUACUGGAGAGAAGAAUGAGUCACGUCCUGGGUAAGACAGAGCAUUGGGUGUUAAGAUUUCCUUAUGCUAUUCAGAAUGGCUCAUUAAUUAAAACUUAAUGAAUGGUUUCUUUAUGGAAUUCUCCAUUAAUAUUAUUGGACUGUAGUUGACCUGAGAUCAUUGGAACUUUGGGAAACAGAACUGUGGGUAAGAGGAGGGCUUACUGCUAAGUGGGAUUUAAGAAUUCAAAGACUAGAGCCAAACUUGCUUACCUGGUCUUCUUGUAUGGAAUGCUUUGCCAAUGUCAAUUCCAUUAAAUGAAAAGCUCCCGUUGGGGUUGCAGCUUUCAACCCCAGGCAGGUCUUUCCCAGGCCCAAGAAAACAGAGGCAGGAUAAAUAAUGGCAAAUGACUAGCUGUGAUGCCUGAUGAAUUUUCUGCACAAUACUCCAUCCAAAUGCUAGAUCUCACGCAUCCCAGCGUUCGCUGCUCAUGACUGCCAACUGGCGUCAGAUGCGGCCCCUACUGUGAACUCUGGCUCCAUACCUGAGCACCAGAGCUCAGUGAGAGUGUGUCCAACACACGAAGCUGGGACUCAGAGGCAGGUGUGUGCCUGGCCCAGCCAAUGCCUCCGCAGCAGAGCGUGGCCCCUGGGCUUUGCAGUGAGUGAAGCAGCACACGCCUGGUUCUGGUUUCUAGAGUGGAGCUGACUUUCUGGGCAGCCGCAUCCGGUUGCAACUCUCCUUUCUCUACCUCUGUUCUUGCAGAGCAUGAGCUCAUUGCCUGCUAAAAUAAUUAGGACUCCCUGGGCGCCUUUGAAGUCCCCCACUCCUCCGACACCCCAUGGUUAGAGUUUUCUUGAUUUUUAUCUGCUGGGGAGGGAGAGGGCUUCCUGUUGCCAACGCCUCACUUCCCCUCGUACUGCCGCCCCACCGAUUGCUUCCAUAUAGGCUCUACGCUUUUGUCUUUAAUGCUCCCGCGCCGCAGAAAAACUCACCUCUUUGGAUCACACGCUUGGCCUGUCAGGACACUGUCGGUGGAGAGACUUAUGGACUAACUGUUUGGAGUAGGGGUGGGAGUGGAGGAGGUUGUGGGACCAGACAAUGUGUAAAUGUAGUCAUUAGCCACAUGGAAACAGACCCAGUGCAAGCAGCAACAUCUCCCUGUCUGACUGCAGUAUUCCUCUGGCCAGGAUGAGGCUGAGCAAGGGGCUCAAUGAGCACCACAGACUCCCUUUGUUGCUGAACAACACCCCAAACUUGUUGGAGGCAUUGUUGCAGAACCCCCAAGCUGGGUCUGCUCGCCUGAUGCGCAGAAAGCCAGACACUGACGUCAGGGAGAGAGCUAGUCUUUAUUGCAAUGUGCAGAGCAAGGAGCUGGGCAACUGUUGCUUAGUUUUUGGGUUCCCCGAGUAGCCAUGGGUGAAAAUUGGGGGCUGCGAGGUAUGUACGUGCAAGGUUCCUGAUUGGCCAGCGAUGCAGUGAUCUUUAGGGAAUUUACGAUGGUCUGGUGGGUUCCUGCCAGGCCUGGGAGGGGUUACUUGAAUUGUGGUUACAUUUCCUCCAGGAUUUCUCAGAAAGAGGAUACUGGCCAUUAAGGUUUAUCUGCAAGCAGACAGGAGGCUCCUUGUGACUAGAACCUUGAGGACUUUCUCUCAAUUUAGUGAAUUCCUCUUGAUAAAGAAAGGACAGGCAAUAAAACCUUGUGCCAAAGGACACGGAUGCCUGGGGCUAGGGGAAA